CGAGCUGAUCCCCUUCGGGGGUGACGCUCGUGGAAUGAGCGGCGGACGGGUGAGUAACACGUGGGCAACCUGCCUGUAAGAUCGGAAUAACUCCGGGAAACCGGAGCUAAUGCCGGGUAACAUGUUCCUUCGCAUGAAGGAACAUUAAAAGAUGGCUUCUCGCUAUCACUUACAGAUGGGCCCGCGGCGCAUUAGCUAGUUGGUGAGGUAACGGCUCACCAAGGCAACGAUGCGUAGCCGACCUGAGAGGGUGAUCGGCCACACUGGGACUGAGACACGGCCCAGACUCCUACGGGAGGCAGCAGUAGGGAAUCUUCCGCAAUGGACGAAAGUCUGACGGAGCAACGCCGCGUGAACGAUGAAGGUCUUCGGAUCGUAAAGUUCUGUUGUUAGGGAAGAACAAGUACCGUGCGAAUAGAGCGGUACCUUGACGGUACCUAACGAGGAAGCCCCGGCUAACUACGUGCCAGCAGCCGCGGUAAUACGUAGGGGGCAAGCGUUGUCCGGAAUUAUUGGGCGUAAAGCGCGCGCAGGCGGUUCCUUAAGUCUGAUGUGAAAGGCCACGGCUCAACCGUGGAGGGCCAUUGGAAACUGGGGAACUUGAGGACAGAAGAGGAGAGUGGAAUUCCACGUGUAGCGGUGAAAUGCGUAGAUAUGUGGAGGAACACCAGUGGCGAAGGCGACUCUCUGGUCUGUUUCUGACGCUGAGGUGCGAAAGCGUGGGUAGCAAACAGGAUUAGAUACCCUGGU
rnacentral:rRNA from 1 species